UGAGUGGUUGGUUUUUUUUUGAACUGUAAUUGCUCACAAGGACACGUUCCACACUCUUAGUGCUGGUGUUCCUUGGCAGUAAAAGGCUCUCUACCACCUACCUAUUGAUACCACAUCUAACCGCCUCAUCCUCUUGCCCCCGCAGAAUGAAUUCAGGGUGAAAAACUUGUCAUCGCAGCUGAGGGGGAAAAGAAAUGAAGAAGAGGAGCAAAAGCUCCCAAUGAAACUCAAAUGGCCCAGAAACUGGCCAUGGCCCCACUAUGAAGGAGCUCUGAGGGAAGCAUGUGAUUUGUGUCCUCUGCAUAAGAACCACUCUGGAGCAAGAAUGAAAUUUAAUUGGAGCCAAUACAUUCCUGCAGAAAGUUAUGAUAUUAAUGAAACAAGAUUUUCUGACGGAAAAUCGUUCUGCUGGAAAAUUUCCAACCAGCUCUUCUUGAAAGCACUGGGGGAGAAAAGAAGAACUGGCUUCUUCUCUGGGAGGAUUGUUGACAAGCAGCAUAAUUUAUCCAAUGGCUUUUAGAUACUGCAGUGAUGGGGGCCUUAGAAAUGAACAUAUGUAAAGCCCUAUGACCAGAAGCUCCAAAGGGCAAAGAGCUCUGUACUAUGAUAUAACCGCAUUUGCUCCAAACCCUCAGACAGAGACAAACACCUACAAGAACUCUAUCAUGCAUUCCUACAACUACAGUACCCACCUGCUGAAGUGAAGAAACAGA